rnacentral:rRNA from 1 species
UGGGGAAUUUUGGACAAUGGGGGCAACCCUGAUCCAGCCAUCCCGCGUGUGCGAUGAAGGCCUUCGGGUUGUAAAGCACUUUUGGCAGGGAAGAAACAGCCUGGGCUAAUAUCCCGGGCGACUGACGGUACCUGCAGAAUAAGCACCGGCUAACUACGUGCCAGCAGCCGCGGUAAUACGUAGGGUGCAAGCGUUAAUCGGAAUUACUGGGCGUAAAGCGUGCGCAGGCGGUUCGGAAAGAAAGGUGUGAAAUCCCAGGGCCUAACCUUGGAACUGCACUUUUAACUACCGGGCUAGAGUACGUCAGAGGGGGGUAGAAUUCCACGUGUAGCAGUGAAAUGCGUAGAGAUGUGGAGGAAUACCGAUGUCGAAGGCAGCCCCCUGGGAUGAUACUGACGCUCAUGCACGAAAGCGUGGGGAGCAAACA